UACCAGCACCCCGAGUGGUCGGGACGUUUUAUUGGGCCUAAAGCAUCCGUAGCCGGUUCUACAAGUCUUCCGUUAAAUCCACCUGCUUAACAGAUGGGCUGCGGAAGAUACUAUAGAGCUAGGAGGCGGGAGAGGCAAGCGGUACUCGAUGGGUAGGGGUAAAAUCCGUUGAUCCAUUGAAGACCACCAGUGGCGAAGGCGGCUUGCCAGAACGCGCUCGGACGGUGAGGGAUGAAAGCUGGGGGAGCAACCGG
rnacentral:rRNA from 1 species